rnacentral:lncRNA from 1 species
CAGAGUUUCCCAAAUCUCAGUGAAUACUUCAAUAACAACCCCUAUGAUGAGAAAUGGAGUCAAAAGCACAAUGGUAUUAAAGCUAGAUAACUUUAAGUAUAUAAUCAGAAGAACAGCAAUUUGAGUGCCAAAUCAAGUAUAUAAAUUUUAAGCCCUUACCGAAUGGAAGUGUGGAACAAGGAGAUCGAACUGAGGGCUUCCGAUUCUAGGGCUUGAGUGGGAUCGAACUGAGAUUUCAAGGGCUUUGAUUCAAGGGCUUUGAUUUGGAGAAGUUUUGGGAAGAUUCGAAUGGAGAAAGACUCGGUGCCGUUAGACGACUGAGAGCACUCGAUUUUAUAGGGCUUCGAUUUUCUGAAUCAAGGGCUUGAGAAGGAACUCUGGGCUUCGAUGUUUUGCAGCAAUCGAUUUUCUGGAGGGGAUGAAGGGUUACGAACCGAAGGCAUCGACUCCGAUUUCUGUGGCAUGGUGCGAUUUUCAGAUGAUUUGGAGAAGUUUUGUGCAUAUUCGAAAGCCAGCGGAAUUAGUUUGAGAGCUCAAUCGCAUCACUGAGUGAGGAAAGAGACUUAAAAACA